AGGUGAAGAAAUGAAGAAUCAAAGGAGUAAAGAACCGGGCUCAAAGUCACAGGACUAGGAAAUCUUGAGGAGUUUGAUCCUUUCCACCCAGCAGCCAUUAACCAUCUUGUGGGAAGCUGUACAUUGACUCCCACCCUGUGCCACCCUGAGGUCCUCACCAGAGCUGAGGCAGGGUCGGUACCUUGUCCUCGAGUCUCCAGACCUGGGAAUGAAAUAAGCUUUUCUUCUUUACGAAGUCGCCUAAUCUCAGCUGUCUCACGAAAUCCACACAUGACAGACAUACGCGGGAAGAUACUACUACCUGAACUGCAAGUGAAAGCCGCUGGGGUAUCGAACUCGGUCCUUGCACUUGUGAGGCCGGCACCAGCAGACUGACCUAAAUUCCCGGCUCA